rnacentral:rRNA from 1 species
CGCAAGCCUGAUGCAGCCAUGCCGCGUGUAUGAAGAAGGACCUUCGGGUUGUAAAGUACUUUCAGCAGUGAGGAAGGUGGGGUAUGGUUAAUAGCAUACUCAUUUGACGUUAGCUGCAGAAGAAGCACCGGCUAACUCCGUGCCAGCAGCCGCGGUAAUACGGAGGGUGCGAGCGUUAAUCGGAAUUACUGGGCGUAAAGCGCAUGCAGGUGGUUUGUUAAGUCAGAUGUGAAAGCCCGGGGCUCAACCUCGGAAUUGCAUUUGAAACUGGCAAACUAGAGUACUGUAGAGGGGGGUAGGAAUUUCAGGUGUAGCGGUGAAAUGCGUAGAGAUCUGAAGGAAUACCGGUGGCGAAGGCGGCCCCCUGGACAGAUACUGACACUCAGAUGCGAAAGCGUGGGGAGCAAACAGGAUUAGAUACCCUGGUAG